rnacentral:rRNA from 1 species
GGCGGACUUUUAAGUGAGAUGUGAAAUACCCGGGCUCAACUUGGGUGCUGCAUUUCAAACUGGAAGUCUAGAGCGCAGGAGAGGGGAAUGGAAUUCCUAGUGUAGCGGUGAAAUGCGUAGAGAUUAGGAAGAACACCAGUGGCGAAGGCGAUUCUCUGGACUGUAACUGACACUGAGGCGCGAAAGCGUGGGGAGCAAACAGGAUUAGAUACCCUGGUAGUCCACGCCGUAAACGAUGAGUGCUAAGUGUUGGGGGUCGAACCUCAGGGCUGAAGUUAACGCAUUAAGCACUCCGCCUGGGGAGUACGGCCGCAAGACUGAAACUCAAAGGAAUUGACGGGGGCCCGCACAAGCAGCGGAGCAUGUGGUUUAAUUCGAAGCAACGCGAAGAACCUUACCUAGACUUGACAUCUCCUGUAUUACUCUUAAUCGAGGAAGUCCCUUCGGGGACAGGAUGACAGGUGGUGCAUGGUUGUCGUCAGCUCGUGUCGUGAGAUGUUGGGUUAAGUCCCGCAACGAGCGCAACCCUUAUUGUUAGUUGCCAUCAUUAAGUUGGGCACUCUAGCGAGACUGCCCGGGUUAACCGGGAGGAAGGUGGGGAUGACGUCAAAUCAUCAUGCCCCUUAUGUCUAGGGCUACACACGUGCUACAAUGGUCGGUACAAUAAGACGCAAGCCCGCGAGGGGGAGCAAAACUGGAAAACCGAUCUCAGUUCGGAUUGUAGGCUGAAACUCGCCUACAUGAAGCUGGAGUUGCUAGUAAUCGCGAAUCAG